CCUUGUAAACGCGGCCCGUCACACCAUGGGAGUGGGUUGCAAAAGAAGUAGGUAGCUUAACCUUCGGGAGGGCGCUUACCACUUUGUGAUUCAUGACUGGGGUGAAGUCGUAACAAGGUAACCGUAGGGGAACCUGCGGUUGGAUCACCUCCUUACCUUAAAGAA
rnacentral:rRNA from 1 species